rnacentral:rRNA from 1 species
AAUCAACGCUGGCGGCGUGCCUCAGACAUGCAAGUCGAACGAUUAAAGCUCUCUUCGGAGAGUGUAUAGAGUGGCGCACGGGUGAGUAACACGUAAGUAAUCUACCUUUGAGUGGGGAAUAACCCGGGGAACCCGAGCUAAUACCGCAUAAUGCAGCGGCACCGCAAGGUGACAGUUGUUAAAGGAGCAAUCCGCUUAAAGAGGAGCUUGCGGCAGAUUAGCUAGNGGUAAGGUAAUGGCUUACCAAGGCUUCGAUCUGUAUCCGGCCUGAGAGGGCGGUCGGACACACUGACACUGAAUAACGGGUCAGACUCCUACGGGAGGCAGCAGUCGGGAAUUUUGGGCAAUGGGCGAAAGCCUGACCCAGCAACGCCGCGUGAAGGAUGAAGUAUUUCGGUAUGUAAACUUCGAAAGAAUGGGAAGAAUCAAUGACGGUACCAUUUAUAAGGUCCGGCUAACUACGUGCCAGCCG